UUAAACGCUGGCGGCAUGCCUUACACAUGCAAGUCGAACGGCAGGCACGGGGGCAACCCUGGUGGCGAGUGGCGAACGGGUGAGUAAUGCAUCGGAACGUGCCAUUGAGUGGGGGAUAACGUAGCGAAAGUUGCGCUAAUACCGCAUAUUCUGUGAGCAGGAAAGCAGGGGACCGCAAGGCCUUGCGCUCUUUGAGCGGCCGAUGUCAGAUUAGCUAGUUGGUGAGGUAACGGCUUACCAAGGCGACGAUCUGUAGCGGGUCUGAGAGGAUGAUCCGCCACACUGGAACUGAGACACGGUCCAGACUCCUACGGGAGGCAGCAGUGGGGAAUUUUGGACAAUGGGCGCAAGCCUGAUCCAGCCAUGCCGCGUGAGUGAAGAAGGCCUUCGGGUUGUAAAGCUCUUUCGGCCGGGAAGAAAUCGCAUGGGUUAAUACCCUGUGUGGAUGACGGUACCGGAAUAAGAAGCACCGGCUAACUACGUG
rnacentral:rRNA from 1 species